UAAAUGGAAGCCAAACUAGAGGUAUCUAACUGUUAAUUAGAAGAUUGUAAAAGUAUUUUUACCCAUUUAG
rnacentral:tRNA from 1 species